rnacentral:rRNA from 1 species
UCAAGUGAAGAAGCGCAUACGGUGGAUGCCUUGGCAGUCAGAGGCGAUGAAAGACGUGGUAGCCUGCGAAAAGCUUCGGGGAGUCGGCAAACAGACUUUGAUCCGGAGAUCUCUGAAUGGGGGAACCCACCUAGGAUAACCUAGGUAUCUUGUACUGAAUCCAUAGGUGCAAGAGGCGAACCAGGGGAACUGAAACAUCUAAGUACCCUGAGGAAAAGAAAUCAACCGAGAUUCCCUUAGUAGUGGCGAGCGAACGGGGAUUAGCCCUUAAGCUUCAUUGAUUUUAGCGGAACGCUCUGGAAAGUGCGGCCAUAGUGGGUGAUAGCCCCGUACGCGAAAGGAUCUUUGAAGUGAAAUCGAGUAGGACGGAGCACGAGAAACUUUGUCUGAACAUGGGGGACCAUCCUCCAAGGCUAAAUACUACUGACUGACCGAUAGUGAACCAGUACCGUGAGGGAAAGGCGAAAAGAACCCCGGAGAGGGGAGUGAAAUAGAACCUGAAACCGUAUGCGUACAAGCAGUGGGAGCCUACUUGUUAGGUGACUGCGUACCUUUUGUAUAAUGGGUCAGCGACUUAUAUUCAGUGGCAAGCUUAACCGUAUAGGGUAGGCGUAGCGAAAGCGAGUCUUAAUAGGGCGUUUAGUCGCUGGGUAUAGACCCGAAACCGGGCGAUCUAUCCAUGAGCAGGUUGAAGGUUAGGUAACACUGACUGGAGGACCGAACCCACUCCCGUUGAAAAGGUAGGGGAUGACUUGUGGAUCGGAGUGAAAGGCUAAUCAAGCUCGGAGAUAGCUGGUUCUCCUCGAAAGCUAUUUAGGUAGCGCCUCAUGUAUCACUCUGGGGGGUAGAGCACUGUUUCGGCUAGGGGGUCAUCCCGACUUACCAAACCGAUGCAAACUCCGAAUACCCAGAAGUGCCGAGCAUGGGAGACACACGGCGGGUGCUAACGUCCGUCGUGAAAAGGGAAACAACCCAGACCGCCAGCUAAGGUCCCAAAGUUGUGGUUAAGUGGUAAACGAUGUGGGAAGGCUUAGACAGCUAGGAGGUUGGCUUAGAAGCAGCCAUCCUUUAAAGAAAGCGUAAUAGCUCACUAGUCGAGUCGGCCUGCGCGGAAGAUGUAACGGGGCUCAAACCACACACCGAAGCUGCGGGUGUCACGUAAGUGACGCGGUAGAGGAGCGUUCUGUAAGCCUGUGAAGGUGAGUUGAGAAGCUUGCUGGAGGUAUCAGAAGUGCGAAUGCUGACAUGAGUAACGACAAUGGGUGUGAAAAACACCCACGCCGAAAGACCAAGGGUUCCUGCGCAACGUUAAUCGACGCAGGGUUAGUCGGUUCCUAAGGCGAGGCUGAAAAGCGUAGUCGAUGGGAAACAGGUUAAUAUUCCUGUACUUCUGGUUACUGCGAUGGAGGGACGGAGAAGGCUAGGCCAGCUUGGCGUUGGUUGUCCAAGUUUAAGGUGGUAGGCUGAAAUCUUAGGUAAAUCCGGGGUUUCAAGGCCGAGAGCUGAUGACGAGUCGUCUUUUAGAUGACGAAGUGGUUGAUGCCAUGCUUCCAAGAAAAGCUUCUAAGCUUCAGGUAACCAGGAACCGUACCCCAAACCGACACAGGUGGUCGGGUAGAGAAUACCAAGGCGCUUGAGAGAACUCGGGUGAAGGAACUAGGCAAAAUGGCACCGUAACUUCGGGAGAAGGUGCGCCGGCUAGGGUGAAGGAUUUACUCCGUAAGCUCUGGCUGGUCGAAGAUACCAGGCCGCUGCGACUGUUUAUUAAAACACAGCACUCUGCAAACACGAAAGUGGACGUAUAGGGUGUGACGCCUGCCCGGUGCCGGAAGGUUAAUUGAUGGGGUUAGCGCAAGCGAAGCUCUUGAUCGAAGCCCCGGUAAACGGCGGCCGUAACUAUAACGGUCCUAAGGUAGCGAAAUUCCUUGUCGGGUAAGUUCCGACCUGCACGAAUGGCGUAACGAUGGCGGCGCUGUCUCCACCCGAGACUCAGUGAAAUUGAAAUCGCUGUGAAGAUGCAGUGUAUCCGCGGCUAGACGGAAAGACCCCGUGAACCUUUACUGUAGCUUUGCACUGGACUUUGAGCCUGCUUGUGUAGGAUAGGUGGGAGGCUUUGAAGCGUGGACGCCAGUUCGCGUGGAGCCAUCCUUGAAAUACCACCCUGGCAUGCUUGAGGUUCUAACUCUGGUCCGUGAUCCGGAUCGAGGACAGUGUAUGGUGGGCAGUUUGACUGGGGCGGUCUCCUCCUAAAGAGUAACGGAGGAGUACGAAGGUGCGCUCAGACCGGUCGGAAAUCGGUCGCAGAGUAUAAAGGCAAAAGCGCGCUUGACUGCGAGACAGACACGUCGAGCAGGUACGAAAGUAGGUCUUAGUGAUCCGGUGGUUCUGUAUGGAAGGGCCAUCGCUCAACGGAUAAAAGGUACUCCGGGGAUAACAGGCUGAUACCGCCCAAGAGUUCAUAUCGACGGCGGUGUUUGGCACCUCGAUGUCGGCUCAUCACAUCCUGGGGCUGAAGCCGGUCCCAAGGGUAUGGCUGUUCGCCAUUUAAAGUGGUACGCGAGCUGGGUUUAGAACGUCGUGAGACAGUUCGGUCCCUAUCUGCCGUGGACGUUUGAGAUUUGAGAGGGGCUGCUCCUAGUACGAGAGGACCGGAGUGGACGAACCUCUGGUGUUCCGGUUGUCACGCCAGUGGCAUUGCCGGGUAGCUAUGUUCGGAAAAGAUAACCGCUGAAAGCAUCUAAGCGGGAAACUUGCCUCAAGAUGAGAUCUCACUGGGAACUUGAUUCCCCUGAAGGGCCGUCGAAGACUACGACGUUGAUAGGCUGGGUGUGUAAGCGUUGUGAGGCGUUGAGCUAACCAGUACUAAUUGCCCGUGAGGCUUGACCAU